UACAGGGGGGGGCAAGCGUUGUUCGGAAUUACUGGGCGUAAAGGGCGCGUAGGCGGCGCAACAAGUCACUUGUGAAAUCUCCGGGCUUAACCCGGAGCGGUCAAGUGAUACUGUCGUGCUAGAGUGCGGAAGGGGCUACUGGAAUUCUCGGUGUAGCGGUGAAAUGCCGUAGAUAUCUGGAGGAAUACCGGUGGCGAAGGCGCAUCCUGGACCGGCAUUGACGC
rnacentral:rRNA from 1 species